rnacentral:lncRNA from 1 species
UCUCCAAACUGCCUGUAUUUAGAAUUCAUUUUAACUGAGGUAAAAGCUCUCUCCGAUGGUAAACAUCAACUUUAAUGAUCACGAUGAUGAAAAAGAAGCUAAACUGUUCACUUAAAUAUUCCUCUGUCUCAAUGCAUCAAAAUACUAAACUUCAAUUCAAUUGGGUCUUGAAACAGCAAAUGCUUCUGCUUAGUAAAUGAUAUAGAAUUGCUGUCUUUUUUCUUCUUUUCAUUGAAAUAUUUGGUGGCUUUCCAAACAAAUUUUAAUCAGAUUUUCAGUAUUAAAUGGUCAUGAUGAGUUAUAAAUAAGUAACUUUCUUCUGCUGUCUCGGUGCAGGUGAUCAUCAUUGCUG